rnacentral:snoRNA from 1 species
AGGUCAUUUCAAAGAUGGCUCAGUGGCUGUGAGACCAAGAACUUUUAAUGCUGUUACCAAAGUUUGCAAUAGGAUGUGAGAGCACUCAGUAGUGCUAUGUUUCUCUGGGGAGAUAUUAAU